GUUGGACAAUAGCAAGGCUCCGCCCAGCCUGGUUGGACAAUAGCAAGGCUCCGCCCAGCCUGGUUGGACAAUAGCAAGGCUCCGCCCAGCCUGGUUGGACAAUAGCAAGGCUCCGCCCAGCCUGGUUGGACAAUAGCAAGGCUCCAUUAGCCAUCUGUAUUUAUAUCACUAUGUUUUAGCCAUUUUGUUAUAUGUCUCUGGCAUUGGCUUUGCACGGACCACCUGACUUUAACCGUUACAUAGUUAACAUUGUAUUCUGUAUUAGUAGGAGCCCUAUUUGUUCAUAUCUGUAUGUAUUUUAUUUUUCAAAGUGUUUCUUCUUUUAGCCGUAGAUGAUCAUUAAAAACCUGUAAAAGUAUUUUUGGUCUUUGAAUAUUUUGAUGACUUCCUAUGAUGCUUUUAGUUCUUAUAAUGCGGCUAGUCCAGACAGGCUGGGUGACAGGCUUACUCCAGCCCUAAGAUAAUGCCUCUAGUUGUGACAUGCUUACUUCAGCCCUAAGAUAAUGCCUCUAGUCCAGACAGGCUGGGUGACAGGCUUACUCCAGCCCUAAGAUAAUGCCUCUAGUCCAGAAUGGCUGGGUGACAGGCUUCCUUCAGCCCUGAGAUAAUGCCUGUAGUCCAGACAGGCUUACUUCGGCCCUGAGAUAAUGCCUCUAGUCCAGAAUGGCUGGGUGACAGGCUUCCUUCAGCCCUGAGAUAAUGCCUGUAGUCCAGACAGGCUUCCUCCAGCCCUGAGAUAAUGUCUGUAGUCCAGACAGGCUGGGUGACAGGCUUCCUUCAGCUCUAAGAUAAUGUCUGUAGUCCAGACAGGCUGGGUGACAGGCUUACUCCAGCCCUAAGAUAAUGUCUGUAGUCCAGACAGGCUGGGUGACAGGCUUACUCCAGCCCUGAGAUAAUGCCUCUAGUCCAGACAGUCUUCCUCCAGCCCUGAGAUAAUGCCUCUAGUCCAGACAGUCUUCCUUCGGCCCCUGAGAUAAUGCCUGUAGUCCAGACAGGCUUCCUCCAGCCCUGAGAUAAUGUCUGUAGUCCAGACAGGCUGGGUGACAGGCUUCCUUCAGCCCUGAGAUAAUGCCUGUAGUCCAGACAGGCUGGGUGACAGUCUUCCUUCGGCCCUGAGAUAAUGCCUGUAGUCCAGACAGGGCUGAAGCAGGGCCGUCACUAGACGGUCAGGAGAUCCGGGGGCUCAGGCC
rnacentral:lncRNA from 1 species